rnacentral:rRNA from 1 species
GACGAACGCUGGCGGCGUGCUUAACACAUGCAAGUCGAACGGAAAGGCCCUGCGUUUGUGGGGUGCUCGAGUGGCGAACGGGUGAGUAACACGUGAGUAACCUGCCCUUGACUUUGGGAGAACUUCAGGAAACUGGGGCUAAUACCGGAUAGGAGCUCCUGCUGCAUGGUGGGGGUUGGAAAGUUUCGGCGGUUGGGGAUGGACUCGCGGGUUAUCAGCUUGUUGGUGGGGUAGUGGCUUACCAAGGCUUUGACGGGUAGGCGGCCUGAGAGGGUGACCGGGCACCAUGGGACUGCGAUACGGCGCAGACGCCAACGGGAGGCAGUGGUGGGGAACAUUGCACAAUGGGCGGACGCGUGUGGCAGAGGCGCCGCGGUCGGAAUGACGUCUUUCGGGUUGUAAACAGCUUUCGCCUGAGACGAAGCGGUAGUGACGGUACCGAAUAAAGAAGCACCGGCUAACUACGUG